AGUGAACGCUGGCGGCAGGCCUAACACAUGCAAGUCGAACGAGUGGCGGACGGGUGAGGAAUAUAUCGGAAUCUACUUUUUCGUGGGGGAUAACAUAGGGAAACUUACGCUAAUCCCGCAUACGAUUGAAUGCGCCGAUGUCGGAUUGGCUAGUUGGCGGGGUAAAGGCCCACCAAGGCGACGAUCCGUAGCUGGUCUGAGAGGAUGAUCAGCAACACUGGAACUGAGACACGGUCCAGACUCCUACGGGAGGCAGCAGUGGGGAAUAUUGGACAAUGGGCGCAAGCCUGAUGCAGCCAUGCCGCGUGGGUGAAGAAGGCCUUCGGGUUGUAAAGCACUUGUAGUGGGAAGGCGGUACCCAAAGAAGAAGCACCGGCUAACUUCGUGCCAGCAGCCGCGGUAAUAC
rnacentral:rRNA from 1 species